GAUGAACGCUGGCGGCGUGCCUAAUACAUGCAAGUCGAGCGAACGGACGAGAAGCUUGCUUUUCUGAUGUUAGCGGCGGACGGGUGAGUAACACGUGGAUAACCUACCUAUAAGACUGGGAUAACUUCGGGAAACCGGAGCUAAUACCGGAUAAUAUUUUGAACCGCAUGGUUCAAAAGUGAAAGACGGUCUUGCUGUCACUUAUAGAUGGAUCCGCGCUGCAUUAGCUAGUUGGUAAGGUAACGGCUUACCAAGGCAACGAUGCAUAGCCGACCUCAGAGGGUGAUCGGCCACACUGGAACUGAGACACGGUCCAGACUCCUACGGGAGGCAGCAGUAGGGAAUCUUCCGCAAUGGGCGAAAGCCUGACGGAGCAACGCCGCGUGAGUGAUGAAGGUCUUCGGAUCGUAAAACUCUGUUAUUAGGGAAGAACAUAUGUGUAAGUAACUGUGCACAUCUUGACGGUACCUAAUCAGAAAGCCACGGCUAACUACGUG
rnacentral:rRNA from 1 species